AGUGAACGCUGGCGGUAGGCCUAACACAUGCAAGUCGAACGGCAGCACAGUAAGAGCUUGCUCUUACGGGUGGCGAGUGGCGGACGGGUGAGGAAUACAUCGGAAUCUACUUUUUCGUGGGGGAUAACGUAGGGAAACUUACGCUAAUACCGCAUACGACCUACGGGUGAAAGCAGGGGAUCUUCAGACCUUGCGCGAUUGAAUGAGCCGAUGUCGGAUUAGCUAGUUGGCGGGGUAAAGGCCCACCAAGGCGACGAUCCGUAGCUGGUCUGAGAGGAUGAUCAGCCACACUGGAACUGAGACACGGUCCAGACUCCUACGGGAGGCAGCAGUGGGGAAUAUUGGACAAUGGGCGCAAGCCUGAUCCAGCCAUACCGCGUGGGUGAAGAGGGCCUUCGGGUUGUAAAGCCCUUUUGUUGGGAAAGAAAAGCAGCAGGUUAAUACCCCGCUGUUCUGACGGUACCCAAAGAAUAAGCACCGGCUAACUUCGUG
rnacentral:rRNA from 1 species